rnacentral:rRNA from 1 species
UACGUAGGGCGCAAGCGUUAUCCGGAAUUAUUGGGCGUAAAGAGCUCGUAGGUGGUUUGUCGCGUUGUUCGUGAAAACUCACAGCUCAACUGUGGGCGUGCGGGCGAUACGGGGCAGACUUGAGUACUGCAGGGGAGACUGGAAUUCCUGGUGUAGCGGUGGAAUGCGCAGAUAUCAGGAGGAACACCGGUGGCGAAGGCGGGUCUCUGGGCAGUAACUGACGCUGGAGGAGCGAAAGCGUGGGGAGCGAACAGG